CUUGCACCUGAACCCAAGAACUGCUGCUUGUGGUAGCUGUGGUUUAAACAGAGGUGCACACAGAAAGUGGGCCUUGUCGCCUUUGGGGGCUGUGUUGUGCCCCUCGGAGUGAAUGUUCAGGUCCUACACCC